rnacentral:lncRNA from 1 species
UUCACUGCAGGCUUGAUAAAGUGACCACAUUCCUCCUGCCAAAAAAAGUUUACUCAUUGCGACAAAUGAUCUGCAACAGUAUACCUCUGAGGUGUGUUCAAAGGAAUCAAACGUUUUCAAGAAAACAGUGAAAUCUUACAAGGAACAAGGUAUUUCCACCACCUCAAAAAGCACACAUACAACUCCAGAACCUCAAAAAGAACAACAUGAACCAGCUUUUCAGAAUGCAGAAUCUAGAUCUCUUGAUGAAGAAAUAAGUACAUGUGUAGAAAAAAAUAUGCCUCAUUCAUCUCAGGAUGAUGUGGUUAUAUCUGAUAAAGAAGGAAGAACUGAUGGUGCUUCUGAGUCUGAACAGAAGGGAGGCAGAACAUCGUCUUCAAAAGCCUCACUCUCCAGACCUGGCAGAAGACCACUGGGAUUUUUAGCUUUAAUAUGUUCAAAGAAUAAUUUGGAGUCUGAUGAACCUACUCGUGUCCAUAGUAAAAAGCGCUUAAAACCUCUUCUACCUAUAUCAAGACGGAAUUUGAAAAGAUCUAAUCCACCUGAUGAGACCCAGAAAAAAAAUAAGGAGUCCUCUGAUGUGCUUCCAUCUCCAAGUGAUGUCACCAGUACUCAAGCUGAGGAUACUAGCAGUUCUGCAACUCAGGUUUCUUGUGAUCAGCCAUCACUAAAAGAAGAAUGUGAAAGCGGCCGAAGGCGUGCACCUGAAACAGAGGAAGCCACCACAGUCUCAGAAUAUUUCUUCAAUGAUAUCUUUAUUGAAGUAGAUGAAGCAGAAUAAAACAGUCUUUGGGUUUUUUUCUCUUAUUUUUUUUCCAUUUUAAUUCUGGGAUUCCUAGAGCCACUUGCAACAACAAAGCAGUUUAGAGAAAGGCAUCACUGUCUGUUUUUCUUUAGGUUGGUUUUUAAUAUUUAGUGAACUUGAUUUGAAACGUUCAUAAUCAGUGGAAAACAUUGCUGAGGUUCCUCUCAUUCUGGCUGAUUGGGCUUUUUGGAAGGCACCAAGCAGUGGUGGCCUCUGAGAGAAACAGCGACCCUGUUUACAUUUCCACCCUGCUUGCUCUGGUGCUGAUGCUGACGGUGACGUGUGGACAUGUGUGGGAUUGUCAGGGACAAAUGUUGGGAGAAAUCAGUGCCAGCUUACUGGGAUGCCAUUGUAUUUAUUGUUUAGCAAACUUCUUUUUGUAAUGUUUUGUUCUCUUUCUUUUUCUUUCCUUUUUGGGGAGAAUGAGGAAGGCAUUUUCAGUUGCCUCCUAAGUGUACAAAAGCAAAUUGUGAAUCUCCACUUUAGUAUGUGACCAUUACAAAUUUUCUAUUGUCAGCUGUUUGCCUGAAAAACAUAUUUUUGUAUUUCAUAGUUAUGUAACAUUAGUCCUAAUUGAAGAACUAGUAUUUAAUAUUUAUAAAGAUGACAAAUCAGAGUUUAUUUAUUUUUAUUUUUUUGUACUGGGGCUCAAACUCACAACCUCGAGCUUGUCAGGCAGGCAUUUAUGCCUCUAAGCUAAAUCCCCAGCCCUUAUUUUAAAAUUUUUUAUUUAAAAGGAUACUCAAUUUUAAUUAUUUUGUUUUUCUUUUUUUUUUUUUUUUUUUUUUUUUUUUUGUCUUUUUCCUUUUUAUUGGUACCGGAGAUCGAACUCAUGACUGCCUGCUUGCAAGGCAGGCGCUUAUGCCGCUGAGCUAAAUCCCCAGCCCCCAAUUUUAAUUAUUUUCACCCCUCAGAUUGUGUGUAAAGAAGGCUUUUUAAAAUUUUUUAUUUUUUUUGUUUUUUGGUACCGGGGAUCGAACUCAUGACCUCGUGCUUGCGAGGCAGGCACUUACGCCACUAAGCUAAAUCCCUGGCCCAAGAAGGCAUUAUUAACAAAUUCAUAUUUGCCUCUUUUCCUCUUUUUCCCUUUUAAAGAUAUUUACAAUAAUAUAACUAGAAAUUUUGGGGUAGGUUUUUUUUUUUUUGUUUUUUUUUUUGAGACGGUCUUGCUAUGUAGUUCAGACUGACCUUGAACUCAUUAUGUAGCAUAAGCUGGCCUCCUACUCAGAGGGAUAAUCCUGUCUCUGCCUUCUGAGUGCUGAGAUUAUGGGUGUGUACCACCAUGCCCUUGUAUAUGUAUGUUUUGAGUACUUUUUUCUCUCGUAGUGUAGUGUAUUGAUUUGGAACUGUGAAUGUUUUUGCUUUUCCUCUAUUUUAGAUAAUCUCAGGAUUUUCAGGAGGAGAAAAUCUCAACUUCUGUCUCUAAGGCAAAUCUCCUUUACAUACACACACAUACAUACUCCUUUUUUAAAACCACAAUUUCUUAAUAUUUUUUUACCCCAUUAAAUUAUAGUCAAGGAGCACUUAGACCAUUAAGCACAAGAUACAAGCAGAAGUAAGGUGAUACGACUUUUUUUUUCUGGUACUGAGAAUCAAACUCACAACCUUGCACUUACCAGGGACGUGCUUAAGCCUCUAAGCUAAAUCCCCAGCCCAAAGAUUUUUUUUCUUUUGAGACAAGAUCUUGCUAUUUAGUGCAGGCCAUUCGUGAACUCAACUUAUAUGUAGCCCAUGUUAGGUUGAACUCAUGAUCAUCCUCCUGCCUCAGGCUUCUGAAUGCGGGGACACAAGACUUUUAUGAAGUUAGUAGUUAUCAAUAUUAAUUUAAAUGAUUUUACUUUUGAAAUUUUAUGCUUUAUGUGUGUAUGUUCCAGAGAUAUAUGUAAUGUGUGCAUAUAUAAUAUAUGUAUAAUAUCAAUCUACCUGAGCAAAUUUUUCCGAAACAGAUUUCUCAAAGAGCAGAUAUAUUCUGAUUCCAUUUGGAAAGUCUCUUAUGUUGCAAAUACUUUAGCUCAGGAGUUGCAAGAUAAUUUUGGGUUCUCAAGCUUCAUGGUCUCUGGCAGCUCCUUAGCUCCCCUAUUUUAUGCGGAGGCAGCUGCAGGUCCCCCUCCCCCUUCAAAUGAAGGGCUGUGCCUGGACUAUGUUGAGCUUGGUCCUUGCUCUAGAUAGUUCUCUUUAAGGUGCUGAGAGCUGUGUGUGAGUUAUUUGUCACUGAAACUCUUGAGUUAUACCUACAGCUGUGUUAAUAGCUUUAUGAAUUUGUGGUAUUUCAAAUGGAAAAGUGUUGUAAAGUCUAAAUGAUUUUAGUGUUUGUAUAUUGAAAGAUGGUGGCCAUUUUUCAGGCUCCUUAGUAAAAUGGACAGUGGCCCAGUGAGUCCAACAGUGAUGGAACUCGCUCUUAGAAUUGUUCUCCCUCCUUUCUCCUCUUUCCCCUCUCUUUCCUUCUCUUCCCUUCUUUUCCCUUCUUUUCCCUUCCUGAGACAGGGUUUCUCUGUGUAGUUCAGGCUGGCUUGCACUCACUGUAUAGCCCAGGAUGGCCUUGAACUAAUGAUGAUCCUCUUGUCUCAGCUACUUGAGUGCUGGGAUUACAGGUUUGCAUCACCACGCACAGCUUCUUAGAGCAUUUCUUACUUGUUGCCUUACAGUGAAAUUUCCAGUUUCACUUUACCAUUGUGCCGUAAAGGAUGAUCUAUAAAUCUGAGUGGAAAUUCUAUACAAUUAUGCAUUUAUUUAUUUCAUGUGAUUCAUAUAUCAAAAAUCAUGGAAUAAAUCACAUCGCAGUUUUAAUAAUCUGUUUUUGUAAAUUUUUAAGUAUCAUUCCGUAAAGGUAUCUUUCUGUUAGUGUUAGUGUGGGUGUUGGAUUGCCAUGACUAAACUAUUUAUCCCUGUAUAAUAUUUAUUUUUUAACUUUGUUAAUAUCUGUCUCACAGAUGUUCAACCAAUUUUAUGGAAGAUAUGAUUUCUUACUCUGUAAUGGGUGCAGGGACAUUCAUUGUAUGAAGAAUCAUGUCAGUCAAACAAUUGUCCUGUUCUACCCUAUAAACUAACCUUGGAAAAACAGAAACUUAUCUAGUACAUUUAUCUUACAAGGUGGAAAUAUCUGUGUUAAAUCUACUUGAGGUAAAGAUGUUACAAACAUUUAUAAAUCUUAAAGGAGACGUGAUAAAAAGUGUUUAUAUUUUUCUCCUGAAUGCUUAUAUCUUAACAAGUGACCAGCAUGAUGGUUUAAAAGCCUAAUUGUUGGUAAAUGAUUGAGGCACAGGUAAAAACAGUAAUAGCCACUGUUUACUACCAUAUUAAAUACAGGUGACCAUGUAUAUAAUUUUGCUUAAAAAUGUCUUUGAUGAAAAAGCAAUACUGUCAUAUGUAAAUUUUCUUGUUUUAAAGAAAGCAGUUAUGUUCCAUAGAUAUAAAUUAUGUAAAUAAAAGUUAUUUUAUACUAU